GGCUACGUAGCUUAGUGGUUAAAGCAUUCGCAUCAUAAGCGAGGGACCGUUGGUUCGAGUCCAACCGUAGCCA
rnacentral:tRNA from 1 species